rnacentral:rRNA from 1 species
GACGAACGCUGGCGGCGUGCUUAACACAUGCAAGUCGAACGGAAAGGCCCUGCUUUUGUGGGGUGCUCGAGUGGCGAACGGGUGAGUAACACGUGUGUAACCUGCACUUGACUUUGGGAUAACUUCAGGAAACUGGGGCUAAUACCGGAUAGGAGCUCUUGCUGCAUGGUGGGGGUUGGAAAGUUUCGGCGGUUGGGGAUGGACUCGCGGCUUAUCAGCUUGUUGGUGGGGUAGUGGCUUACCAAGGCUUUGACGGGUAGCCGGCCUGAGAGGGUGACCGGCCACAUUGGGACUGAGAUACGGCGCAGACGCCUACGGGAGGCAGCAGUGGAGAAUAUUGCACAAUGGGCGGAAGCCUGAUGCGGCAACGCCGCGUGCGGGAUGACGGCCUUCGGGUUGUAAACCGCUUUCGCCUGUGACGAAGCGUGAGUGACGGUAAUGGGUAAAAAAGCACCGGCUAACUACGUG